AAAAUAAUAAAAACUGAUUUUUUUUUACUUAUAAUUUAAGACAUAAAAAAGUAAUUUAGUAAUUUUUUCUUCUUCUUAUAAUAUGAGAAGGAGUCUAGUCUCUAUAAAAUAAUGAAGGCAAGUGACUUCUCUCACAUAAUUAGGAGAGAAAGGUAUGGAUGUGAUUUUCCCUUCAGAAUAUGAUUUAGUUUCAUUUGUGUUGAUUUCAACUAAAUUCCAGAUUUUUCUACUUUUUGCAGUGAGCAUUUACUCAAAAUGGAUAUGUCAGCUAGCAAAAUGACAUCAACUGAUGAGUCAUGGACAACUUGGUUAUGUGAUUUGGUAAAUACAAUUAUGUUU
rnacentral:lncRNA from 1 species